ACGACUUAUUUCUGGAUCGAUAUUCAAAUCAAAAAGACAAUAUGAGUUUCAUUCAAUUCCUAAAGAUUAUAAAGUUCUCUCAGAGAAAAAGUUCCGAGAUUAUCUAAUCAAAUGGAACAUGGACCAGAAUCUUAAAAUGUGCAGUUAUAAAGUCGAAGGCAAUGUUGAAUUACAAGACGUGGAAAGCAUCAUUGGGUGUCCGAAAGUCUAGACAAACACAAAUGAAGUUCAUAGUUUCAGAAGUUUUCAAAAUUACAUGCUUUGUAA